GGGAUGCCUAAUAUGUGGCGAUUUGGGCCUCUAUUGCAUGUUCUAGCGGCCGCGCCGGUGAGGGAAAUCUGCGCAAUUUUCCCCUCUGGCGUAUAACAUGCGAGUGGAAAGGGAUCUUGUAUCGAGUGGGGCACGGGUGAGUAACGCGUGGGAACCUGCCUUUCUCUGCGUGACAACGGUUGGAAACGACCGCUAAUACCGCAUACACCCUACGGGGGAUGUUCAGCCGGAGAAAGAGGGGCCCGCGUUAGAUUACCUAGGUGGGGGAUGAAUGGGCUACCAAGGAACCUAUUGAUGACUGGUUGGAUAGGAAGAUCAACCAUCUGGGACUGACUGCGGCCCAGACCCCUAAGGGAAGCCGCAAUGGGGAAUAUUGAACCAUGGGGGCAACCCUGAUCCAGCAAAUUGGCCUGUGUGAUGAAGGCCCUCCGGUUGUAAAGCACUUUCACUGGGGAAGAUGAAGGGGUUAACCACAGAUGAAGCCCCAGCUUACUUCUUGCCAGCAGCGGCGGGAUUCGAAGGGGGCGAAUGUUGGUCGGAAUUACUGGGCGGAAAGGGUGCGUAGGCGUAUCUUUAAGUCAGGCGUGAACGCCCCGAGCUCAACCUGGGAACUGCGCUUAACACUUUAGAGCUACAAUACGGAAGACGGACAUGUAAUUCCCAGAGUUGAGGUGAAAUCCCGAGAUACUGGAAAAGAUCA
rnacentral:rRNA from 1 species